GGGCAGGUUCCAGAGUGGUUAAACGGGGCAGACUGUAAAUCUGCUGGCUUACGCCUUCGGAGGUUCGAACCCUUCCCUGCCCA
rnacentral:tRNA from 1 species